rnacentral:lncRNA from 1 species
UUUAUUGCUCUUACAUAUUUCGGUGGUUCAAAUGAAUGGACAGAAGUCCAGCAAAUGUAUUUGCAUGGAUAGAGCCUAAAAGAGUCCUCCUGUGUAGAAGUUUUAAUAUUUGUAUCCAAUAUAACAUGCUCUAAAUGAUAUUGGAGAUCAGAAUGCUUACCUUAGACCAAUAUAUAGUUCCUUAGCUGAACUGAAAUUCCCUCAAACCUGUGAGUAUUUUCGCUCAGAAUUAGAAUAGAAAGUUUGAAAUCUCGCAAAACUGAUCUUUUAUACACCGGGGUAUUUCGCGAUAUCGGAAGCCACAUCGCCAUUUCCAAAAUAAAUGGACUAGGCUAUCUUCGUGCAAGUGCGGACACCAUUUUGCGUUUGACCCUUCUGCUAUCAUCGUCCUUCCGCAAAGUAAAUUAGGUGGGAUGGCCAGUUUUCAAGCGUUUAGUCACUGUUUCAAAUGUAAUUAGAAAGUAGCCACUUUUUAAUGUGAAAAUAAAAUUUGGACAAAAUCCCACGAGCUAAAACACAGAAAACUCCAAGAACAAUUCAGGAAGCUCAAAACCUUUAUGAGUUCAAACUUCAGGAACGAUUUAUAGAGUUUAAACUUUGACAAUCUAAGUGUGAAAAUUUGCUAGAGUUUCAAACUCCAUGAACGAUUCAUGAAGCUCAAACUUUCAGAAUGAUUUAUGGAGUUCAAACUUUCACAGUACAAGUGUGAGAAUUUAAUGGAGUUUCAAAUUCCAUGAAUGAUUCAUAGAAUUCAAACCUUUGUCACUUCAAACUCCAGGAACAUUCAUGGAAUUCAAACUUCACAGCAUUCUAAGACAGACCAAUCUAGUUGUGGCAUUUCAUCAAACAACUCUCUAGCAUAACUCAAAAUUACGACUUGAAACAAAAAAGAAUAAUUCAACUACCAAAUGAAAGUAAAUCUAAAAAUUAGAGAUGGUAACCUAAAGUCCAAUACCAGCUGCAACAGUGAUUAAUGUGAUCACUUGACAACAGUUGGGGUUCCCACUGCUUUGAGGCUUUGAGUGCUGAGAUGGUGUCACGAAGACGCUUUGGCUUCGUUUCAACGAUUAAUGGAUAGAGAAUUCAAUAGUUAUACUUACAUUCAAAAUUCCACGUUUUAUGCACUCACGAAGGAAGGGCAGCAAAUUUACCUACAAAUCAAUGUGUAUAAUGGUUGAAGCUUGGAGAGAGUGAUGUGUUCAUUCCAAACUUCUGAAGAUGAAAAUUUGAAUCCAUUGACUCUAGAUCGCAAGAGGGAUUUGAGUUACCUCACAAAUCUUCCAGGUGCACAAGCGUUUCAACCCAGCGAUUGAAGGCUGCAUUGGGGUGAUUCAUGCUGCACAUCAAAUUGAUUUUGAGAACAAACAAAGUGAAUAUCUAGGUGCAAGUUAAAUUAAAAAGGUUUAAUUUGAGAAAAUGGAAGGAGAUAAAUUGAUUUUACUUACAUUUAUUUGCAGGUACACAGGGGCA